rnacentral:rRNA from 1 species
UGAGGAAUAUUGGUCAAUGGACGAGAGUCUGAACCAGCCAAGUAGCGUGCAGGAUGACGGCCCUAUGGGUUGUAAACUGCUUUUGUUUGGGAAUAAUCGACAUUACGUGUAAUGUUUUGCAUGUACCAUUCGAAUAAGGACCGGCUAAUUCCGUGCCAGCAGCCGCGGUAAUACGGAAGGUCCAGGCGUUAUCCGGAUUUAUUGGGUUUAAAGGGAGCGUAGGCUGUUUGUUAAGCGUGUUGUGAAAUGUAAGAGCUCAACUUUUAGAUUGCAGCGCGAACUGGCAGACUUGAGUGCGCACAACGUAGGCGGAAUUCAUGGUGUAGCGGUGAAAUGCUUAGAUAUCAUGAAGAACUCCGAUUGCGAAGGCAGCUUACGGGAGCGCAACUGACGCUGAAGCUCGAAGGUGCGGGUAUCGAACAGG